AUACAGAGGGUGCAAGCGUUAAUCGGAUUUACUGGGCGUAAAGCGCGCGUAGGUGGCUAAUUAAGUCAAAUGUGAAAUCCCCGCGCUUAACUUGGGAAUUGCAUUCGAUACUGGUUAGCUAGAGUAUGGGAGAGGAUGGUAGAAUUCCAGGUGUAGCGGUGCAAUGCGUAGAGAUCUGGAGGAAUACCGAUGGCGAAGGCAGCCAUCUGGCCUAAUACUGACACUGAGGUGCGAAAGCAUGGGGAGCAAACAGGAUUAGAUACCCUGGUAGUCCAUGCCGUAAACGAUGUCUACUAGCCGUUGGGGCCCUUGAGGCUUUAGUGGCGCAGCUAACGCGAUAAGUAGACCGCCUGGGGAGUACGGUCGCAAGACUAAAACUCAAAGGAAUUGACGGGG
rnacentral:rRNA from 1 species